rnacentral:rRNA from 1 species
CAGUAGCCGCGGUAAUACGGAGGGUGCAAGCGUUAAUCGGAAUUACUGGGCGUAAAGCGCACGCAGGCGGUCUGACAAGUCAGAUGUGAAAUCCCCGGGCUUAACCUGGGAACUGCAUUUGAAACUGUCAGGCUGGAGUCUUGUAGAGGGGGGUAGAAUUCCAGGUGUAGCGGUGAAAUGCGUAGAGAUCUGGAGGAAUACCGGUGGCGAAGGCGGCCCCCUGGACAAAGACUGACGCUCAGGUGCGAAAGCGUGGGGAGCAAACAGGAUUAGAUACCCGCGUAGUCCCUGUCUCUUAUAC